UACGUAGGUGGCAAGCGUUGUCCGGAAUUAUUGGGCGUAAAGCGCGCGCAGGCGGUCCUUUAAGUCUGAUGUGAAAGCCCACGGCUCAACCGUGGAGGGUCAUUGGAAACUGGGGGACUUGAGUACAGAAGAGAAGAGUGGAAUUCCACGUGUAGCGGUGAAAUGCGUAGAGAUGUGGAGGAACACCAGUGGCGAAGGCGGCUCACUGGCCCGUAAUUGACGCUGAGGUGCGAAAGCGUGGGGAGCAAACAGG
rnacentral:rRNA from 1 species